rnacentral:sRNA from 1 species
ACACCCAGGGGGGACGCCAAGGGAGCAGGACGGAGCCAUGGACCCCGCCAGGAAAGCAGGUGCCCAGGCCAUGAUCUGGACUGCAGGCUGGCUGCUGCUGCUGCUGCUUCGCGGAGGAGCGCAGGCCCUGGAGUGCUACAGCUGCGUGCAGAAAGCAGAUGACGGAUGCUCCCCGAACAAGAUGAAGACAGUGAAGUGCGCGCCGGGCGUGGACGUCUGCACCGAGGCCGUGGGGGCGGUGGAGACCAGUGAGUGGGGACCCCCGGACCACGCACACCACUGCAGGCUCCUCCGGCCCAGCCCCGCCUCCUUAUAGUCCUUUCUGGAUCUGGCCACGCCCCUUUAACGCGGCCCCACCCCUCCCUUUCAGCCUGGCCGGGACCCUACGACACAGCCUUGCAGGCCAGGCCUUCUCUAUUAACAAUCACAAGCGCGAGGAGCAGAGAGUUGAGAACUGGGUGGGGCGGACUGGGAGAGCUCGGGUUUGGAACGAGGUCACGUCCUAUGCACUUUUUCUGCCCCACCAAUGAGACCUCCCCAUCCCUGCCUGUCAACCAGGCUGUCUCCU